AAGUAACAGCAAUGACUAUAGCAACUAUACACAAAUGAAUCACUUAUUUGAAUCACAUAUCCCAAAUGCAGUCGGCAUCAAAAACAGGCAGACUAACUGACACUGACAGCAAAGAAUCAGACUGAGGCCUGUUUUGGGCUCCAACUGGUGCAGGUGGAGCUGAAUUAAUGUCAAAUCCAAAGUAUUCCAAAGUGUUGGGCAGGAUGCUGGAUUUCAACACUGGUAGUAUGAGUUUAUGUAGAACUACAGCCUUGUAAAAAGAAAGUUUUAAUGCAGUCCUGGGGGGAAAAAAACACACGCUUAUUGCUUCCAUAGGAAAUAAGAGGGUAAGCAACAGCCAGGUGCUGCUAAUCAAAUGCAGCUGAUUAACUGAUCAUCAGCAGGUGUGAGCACCUCCAUAAGUUUUGGAUAGUUUUUUGCAUUUGAACAAACCACACGAUUUCUGGAUGAAUCCCCUCUGGAAAGAUGUGGAGUGAAGAUGUUUGGACAUAAUGUGCAGUUCCUUUGCUGAGCUUGUUUGCUAAAGCCAGACACGGGAUCCCCAAUUUGGGGUCAUGUGACAGGACGAUGACUCCCGAGCAAAUCUACAACAGAAUGGAUGAAAAGCAACAGAAUCAAGGAAAAAGUUUCACAGGAGUGGAUGCCAGCGAGGAGGGUUCCAGGAGACUGAGCGAGACUUCACUGGGAGAGAGGACAGGCAGGUUAAUCCAGUGUGUCUUUUCCUGUCUUUCCCUUCACCCCCAAACCGUGAGAGCGGGAAGACAGAACCAGGCUCAGGGAGGUGGCCUUUCCCUGAGCAACAAACAGUGUUCCUCACCAUCACAAAUCUGUAGCUGUUUCCUAAAAUGUGAGCCCCCUGGGUGGGCUCCAUAUGGAUCACCAAAGUUUCUGAUAAAUUAAUAAACCUUUUUUCA